rnacentral:rRNA from 2 species
AGUCGAGCGAAAGAAGGGAGCUUGCUCCCGGAUGUUAGCGGCGCACGGGUGAGUAACACGUGGGUAACCUGCCUGUAAGACUGGGAUAACUCCGGGAAACCGGAGCUAAUACCGGAUAGUUCCUUGAACCGCAUGGUUCAAGGAUGAAAGACGGUUUCGGCUGUCACUUACAGAUGGACCCGCGGCGCAUUAGCUAGUUGGUGGGGUAAUGGCUCACCAAGGCGACGAUGCGUAGCCGACCUGAGAGGGUGAUCGGCCACACUGGGACUGAGACACGGCCCAGACUCCUACGGGAGGCAGCAGUAGGGAAUCUUCCGCAAUGGACGAAAGUCUGACGGAGCAACGCCGCGUGAGUGAUGAAGGUUUUCGGAUCGUAAAGCUCUGUUGUUAGGGAAGAACAAGUGCGAGAGUAACUGCUCGCACCUUGACGGUACCUAACCAGAAAGCCACGGCUAACUACGUGCCAGCAGCCGCGGUAAUACGUAGGUGGCAAGCGUUGUCCGGAAUUAUUGGGCGUAAAGGGCUCGCAGGCGGUUUCUUAAGUCUGAUGUGAAAGCCCCCGGCUCAACCGGGGAGGGUCAU